AACCACAGUAUAGGCAAAAUUGAUUAUCCUUUUUAAUUCCACAUGUUUACUUUUGUGCGUAGGAAUUGUUCUUUCAAUUUUUUUUUUUUAUGAUCCCAUGCACUAGCAGUGGCAAACUAAUGUUUUUGAUUUUAUGAAAUUUUCAUCUGAACUGAUGAACCUCACAUGAUGCUGCAAUAUAAUACCUACUGAGUUGCUAUUCUUGUUAUUGUGCUAUUAGUGGUACCAUUCAAUAUAAAGAGUUAUUGAUGUUUAUUUUGUUUAAAUGCGUUCCAUAGGAAUACCUGAACUGAAUAUAAUUAAUUGCGUUAUUUUAACAUUGUUUUCAUUUUUGAACUUCCAAAAUGAAAAGUGUCUUGAAUUCUUUAUUAGGCAGUUUAUCACUAAAAAGAAACUAGGUAUGAAAGGAAGAUAGUGGCUUUGGCUUGAAUAUGAAUGAUAGAAUAUUUACUGUCAUCUCCUUGCACCAAUCUUAUCUUGUUUGAAAUGUAAAUGGUUUAAAUUUCAGGAUGGCCAUGAUGUGGGAUACCA
rnacentral:misc_RNA from 1 species